rnacentral:tRNA from 1 species
GCCCCCGUAGCUCAGUUGGAUAGAGCAAGAGUUUCCUAAACUCUGGGUCGCACGUUCAAUUCGUGUCGGGGGCACCA